rnacentral:rRNA from 1 species
GUCUAUGGCCACACCAUGCUGAAUGCACCCAAUCUCAUCUGAUCUCAGAAGCUAAGCAGGGUCAGGCCUGGUUAGUACUUGGAUGGGAGAGUUCAAGGCCAGCCU